GAUGAACGCUGGCGGCAGGCCUAAUACAUGCAAGACGAACGGUAAGUUGAGUAGCAAUACUUAGCCAAGAGUGUCGUACGGGUGCGUAACACGUAUGCAACCUACCCUAUACAGGAGGAUAGCCUAGGGAAACCUGGAUUAACCCUUCAUAGUAUUAUUGGAUGGCAUCAUUUGAUAAUUAAAACUGAGGUGGUAUAGGAUGGGCAUGCGUCUGAUUAGUUAGUUGGCGGGGUAAUGGCCCACCAAGACGAUGAUCAGUAGGGGUUCUGAGAGGAAGAUCCCCCACACUGGCACUGAGAUACGGGCCAGACUCCUACGGGAGGCAGCAGUAGGGAAUAUUGGUCAAUGGAUGCAAGUCUGAACCAGCCAUGCCGCGUGCAGGAAGAAGGCCUUCUGGGUUGUAAACUGCUUUUGCCAGGGGAUAAAAUUUCCAUGCGUGGAAAACUGAAGGUACCUGGUGAAUAAGCCACGGGCUAAACUACGUGCCAGCAGCCGCGGUAAU
rnacentral:rRNA from 1 species